rnacentral:rRNA from 1 species
UACAGAGGUGGCAAGCGUUGUUCGGAAUUACUGGGCGUAAAGGGCGCGUAGGCGGCCUUCUAAGUCAGACGUGAAAUCCCCAGGCUUAACUUGGGAACUGCGUCUGAUACUGGGAGGCUUGAGUGCGGGAGAGGGAUGUGGAAUUCCAGGUGUAGCGGUGAGAUGCGUAGAUAUCUGGAGGAACACCGGUGGCGAAGGCGGCAUCCUGGACCGACACUGACGCUGAGGCGCGAAAGCUAGGGGAGCAAACGGG